GGUUAAUGCGGGAUCCGUUUCCUUUAAUUUUGACCCGACUUCAUUUGUACGACAUCUGCGUUUCUUUUCCAAAACCCUAGAGAGCCUCCAUCUCCAUCUCCAUCAUCAUUCUCCAUCUCCAUUCCAAGCAACUGAUCAUCUCUUCACAUGUCCAUAUUUAUGCGUGGAUCAUAAUCAUAUCGCCUCUUCUUCCUACGUCUCAUUUUCUCUAAAAUCUAAAUCUUCAUCAUCGCUUAAUCGUCGUUACCACCACAAACUUGGAUUAUCUUCUUAUUUUUGGUGUUGCAGACAACCGAAAUAAGCCCUAAGUUAAGGUUGGUGAAAUCAUGGUAGAUUUGAGAAGAAAGGCUUCUCUUUGGUUAUGUGUUUCGUUUCGCUACAAUUCAAGCCCCAACAGAUGGCUCUGGAGCUGCAUAUCUUACUGCAAGGUCCUUAAAUAUGAAUUUUAUUUCAUAUCAAAAUAAAGUGCAGGAGUUCUACAAACCACCAUUGGAUUGCGUGGGUCUGGAUUACCGCUUCGAAAGUUAAAGGUGGAACGGUCAUUGGAUCUCUUCAGGCUAUGAAUCGUGUGCUCCUUGCAAAAUGGUGGUGGGGAUCAAGAACGGAGAAAGGUCGUUUGUGGCAGGAAGUCAUUGCAGCUGUACAUCAUAACAUCAGACUUCAUAUGAGAAUGUUGUAUACAGCUACGACAUGCGAGCCAAUGCCUACAACAAAGGAAUCCUUCAGAUUUUUGGGGAGAUAUUUUGCACUAGAAUCCCUGCAACAAAAAACAAGUAUUAGAGCAUAUGUCCCAAAAGUACCAGGGAUCGGAGGACUCGACUUUGGAGAUAGGAGUGACGUUUGUGUCAGGUCGGGUCGUGUCAGACUGUUGUGUGGUGAACUCAUGUUCAUUAGUUUGGUUUGGGCUGCUGUUGAAAGACGAUAAAAUACCCAGCUUUAUGCAAUUUUUGAUGCGUUAAAACAACAGUUCUAUAUCAUUUAAAUGCUUCAUUUUAUUAUUGUAAAAAAAGCAUUCUCAUUUCUUUCAAAUGCUGUAAAGAUAAAUGUGUACUUUA